rnacentral:ncRNA from 1 species
AUAAAAAUUUAUUAUGGUUUAAAAAUUUUAUUUAAAAUUUAUUUUACAUAUAAAUUUUAGUGUUAAUUUUUUAUUAUUUUAAUAAUAAUAAGUUUUUAUUUAUAGUAAUUAAUAUUAAAAAUUUAAGAAAUUAAGAUUUAGUAAUAUUUUAAUUUAUAACAAAUUUUGUGCCAGCAGUUGCGGUUAAACAAAAAUUAAAUUAAAAUUUAUUAGUAAUUAAUAAAUAAUAUUAUUUAAAUUAAUUAAAUAUUAAAUUAUUAAGUGAAAUUUUAAUUUAAUUAAAAUUAAUUUAUAAAUUAUAAUUUAAUAAAUUUUAUUUAUAAACUAGGAUUAGAUACCCUAUUAUUAAAAAUUUAAAUUAAUUAUACUAAAAUAGUAUAUAAUUAUUUAUUGAAACUUAAAUAAUUUGGCGGUAUUUUAGUUCAUUUAGAGGAAUCUGUUUAAUAAUUGAUAAUCCACGAAUAAAUUUACUUAAUUUAAUAUUUUGUAUAUCGUUGUUAAAAAAAUAUUUUUAAAUAAUAUUAAUAUUUUAAAAUUAUAAUAAAAAUUAAAUCAGAUCAAGAUGCAGAUUAUAAUUAAGAAUAUAAUGGAUUACAAUAAAUUUAUUUAUACUAAUGUUAAAUUGAAAAAUUUAAUUAAGGGUGGAUUUAAAUGUAAUUUUAUUUAGUUUAUUAAAAUGAUUAAAAAUUAAGAUAUGUACAUAUUGCCCGUCGCUUUCAUAAAUAAAUUGAAAUAAGUCGUAACAAAGUAGAGGUACUGGAAAGUGUUUCUAGAAAUAU